rnacentral:rRNA from 1 species
UACGUAGGAGGCGAGCGUUGUCCGGAAUCACUGGGCGUAAAGCGCGUGUAGGCGGUGGAGCAAGUCUGCUGUGAAAGCGCCCGGCUUAACUGGGCGAGGUCGGCGGAAACUGCUCGACUAGAGGCCGGUAGAGGCGGGUAGAAUUCCCGGUGUAGUGGUGAAAUGCGUAGAGAUCGGGAGGAAUACCAGUGGCGAAGGCGGCCCGCUGGGCCGAGCCUGACGCUGAGACGCGAAGGCGCGGGGAGCGAACGGG